AUGGGUUUAACAUUGUUAUAAUUUCUGCUGCCACCGUGAACAUCAAAAUGAGUCCGAUAAAUUGAAGCUAGAAUUUCUCCAUCGAAAUACUACAUUGUCCAUGUGGCCAAGAUGCAACAGUAGCAAACCCCAGAAUGUUUGAGGAGGGCCUAUCAUCCUACAACCUUGGCAGGGAGCUGCUUCAUAUUCCCCAUGUUUCUGCUACUUCCAUGGAAAAUAUGUCAUCUCUAUUGUUGUUCGACGAUAUGCCUAAAAUGAUAUGGAGGGGACAAGAAGUUUGAUGUUCAUGG